rnacentral:rRNA from 1 species
AUUGAACGCUGGCGGCAUGCCUUACACAUGCAAGUCGAACGGCAGCACGGGAGCAAUCCUGGUGGCGAGUGGCGAACGGGUGAGUAAUGUAUCGGAACGUGCCUUGUCGUGGGGGAUAACGUAGCGAAAGCUACGCUAAUACCGCAUACCAUCUAAGGAUGAAAGCGGGGGAUCGCAAGACCUCGCGCGACAAGAGUGGCCGAUAUCAGAUUAGGUUGUUGGUGGGGUAAAGGCCUACCAAGCCGACGAUCUGUAGCUGGUCUGAGAGGACGACCAGCCACACUGGGACUGAGACACGGCCCAGACUCCUACGGGAGGCAGCAGUGGGGAAUUUUGGACAAUGGGCGAAAGCCUGAUCCAGCAAUGCCGCGUGCGGGACGAAGGCCUUCGGGUUGUAAACCGCUUUCUAGCCGGAAGAAAUACGCCAAGGCUAAUAUCCUUGGUGGUAUGACGGUACCGGAAGAAGAAG